rnacentral:lncRNA from 1 species
GGGACCUGCCGGCUCCCGCUGUGGCUCUGAGGUAGGGGAAGGGGAGGGGGCUGGGUGCGGGCAUCUGGCCUUGGCAGUCUCUUCCUUUCGGGACAGGAGGGACCUUGCGGUGUGCCUGCAAGGGGAUGUUGAACCCCGAGUUUGGCCCCGGGACGUGUGGGUGCGAAUAAGCGGGAGCGUAGGACCUGGAGCUCGGAGCUGUUCAGAGCCUUCCCGUGGACUCCCGGGCUUUCCAAAGUAGGACCCCGAAGUCCUGACACUAGCCUUCUGGGGUUCUGGACUUGGGAAUCUCGCCUUCUAUGGAAGUUUCCUGGUGGCAGAACUGAAGGGCUUACGUUCGAUGGAAAGAGAGGGCAGCCAGAGGAAAAAGGAGCCGAGGGACAUCUGCCAGAACGGCCAGGGCUGCUGGAGGAGCUAACCCCCCCAGGCAGUGAUGCUUCUUGCUUUUGCUACGGUGCCGGGACACUUCCUUAAGUGAAGGACCUUUAAGAACUGUCAGUGGCCUUCGUUGGUCUCAACUAUUUGAUUAGCCACUUCUUCUUGUCGCUGCGCACCUGGGGCUGAGCACUCUGCGGCCCUGCGGCAGGCGCGCAGGACCUGUUGAUUUACUGACAGUUCCUUUCAGCGCUUGCCACCUCCAGAGAAAGCGCUGUCUUGCUCUUGAAGUUGAAGUUGAGGCUCCUGCGGCAGCAGCAGGAACUGCAAAGCCCCUCAGCCGCGGCUUCUGCCAUUUUACCUGACUUGAAUUUUACAAGUCGCUGCCUAAGAAGGGUUCGGUUUCAAAUGAUGCAAUAGUGGAUGACCUGGAGGAGGCGGGAUAAGAUUUCUGUCCAUCUCUUUAAUGCUUGCAAAAUCCUGAAAACUAACCGAUACUAUGCUUUAAAUGUGGGCCUAACAACAAAAACAGAAUUACAGUACCUUUGCACAACUGGUAGAGAAGAGGGCCAGCACGAUGUCCAGAACUUUGCUUACAUUUUCACAGUUCUUUGACCAUAAUUCAUUUCUUCCUCAGUGUUUUUUUGGUUCCUGAUUGUAUAUUACAUUAAAUAUCCAUGUUCCUGGCAUGCAAAUCUCUCCACAGUAUGAUCUCAAUUGUUUAUCUCAGGUUCGUCCUCAACUGUCUCCCUGAAUAUAAUCAUUUAGUUAAAUCAUAUUUUAAACAAGGAAGAAAGACUGGGAGUAGUUAGUAAAUGUGAAGUGAAAUUUCUGAAUCCUGGGCUGCUUGUCCAAAAAGAUUUGCUGAGUUUAGGGUGGGACUAUGGCUCUAUAGACAGGACCCUGUUAAUAAUUAGAUUGGAACAAUAGGUGUAACCUGGGACUGUUCUAGCAUAGUGAGGCAUGUGGUAACUCAAGCUGUACUCAUUACCUACAAGAUGAACCAAAGUGUUGAAAUGUGUGAACUGGUGGGGAGUGCUCUAGCUCUGUUGGGGGAAAUAGGUUUCAGAGCAGUAGAGUCUGGCACAAAGACAGUUGGUAUAUGUUUGUUGAAUGAAUGAAUGAAUGAAUGACUAUAGAAAAGAUGUUGCUUGGUAAUGUCUCAGUUUUUGCUAAACAAUUUGUUCAUUAACUAUUAGAUUCCUAUUUAUUACAUGCCAGGUACUGUGCUAGUCCUAGGAGAUAGCAAGUACAAACAGAACUCAUU